CAGCAGUGCUCAUCCAUUCCCACCUGCACUUAAAUCCAGGGAUGGCUUCCCUGUAGAUGAAGAGCACAAACAGGGUUGAAUCCUCCUCACAGUGGGAUGAAGGGAAACAUGGAUUAUCUGUCCCCAGGAAAAAUAAGGAAGGAAUUAGCUCUGCAUUGUGCGCGCUGACACGCUAAAAGCGAGCUGGCUUGGGAGCAAGAAGUUGCUGUGCCCCGGGACGGACCGGGGUGGAGGCCCGAGGCUUGUGGAGGGGGGGCUUCUCCCCUCUCUCCUCUGCAGGAGGGGAGACCCAGAGUCCCCCCUACACUUCGAGGCGAGGUAAUCCCUGAAUACACUGAGUAACAGGCGCUGCAUUACGGGGCUGCCCUGAUCCCCCGGCCGUGGCCGCGCCGCCUCGCCUUGGGCAGGUGCCCGCUCUUCUCGCGUGCUGCCCGCCCCGGUGCGGAGGGAAGCGCGGGCGCGGAGAGGGGCG